GAUGAACGCUGGCGGCGUGCCUAAUACAUGCAAGUCGAACAAAACUUCUUUAUCACCGAGUGCUUGCACUCACCGAUAAAGAGUUGAGUGGCGAACGGGUGAGUAACACGUGGGCAACCUGCCCAAAAGAGGGGGAUAACACUUGGAAACAGGUGCUAAUACCGCAUAACCAUAGUUACCGCAUGGUAACUAUGUAAAAGGUGGCUAUACUACCGCUUUUGGAUGGGCCCGCGGCGCAUUAGCUAGUUGGUAGGGUAAAGGCUUACCAAGGCAAUGAUGCGUAGCCGAAUUGAGAGGUUGAUCGGCCACAUUGGGACUGAGACACGGCCCAAACUCCUACGGGAGGCAGCAGUAGGGAAUCUUCCACAAUGGGCGAAAGCCUGAUGGAGCAACGCCGCGUGGGUGAAGAAGGUCUUCGGAUCGUAAAACCCUGUUGUUAGAGAAGAAAGUGCGUGAGAGUAACUGUUCACGUUUCGACGGUAUCUAACCGGAAAGCCACGGCUAACUACGU
rnacentral:rRNA from 1 species